rnacentral:tRNA from 1 species
GGGGUUGUAGCUCAGCGGUAGAGCACUUGCUUUGCAUGUGCGAGGCCCUGGGUUCAGUCCCCAGCACCA